rnacentral:rRNA from 1 species
UACGGAGGGGGCUAGCGUUGUCCGAAGUUACUGGGCGUAAAGCGCGCGUAGGCGGGUUGGUAAGUCCGCUGUGAAAGCCCGGAGCUCAACUCCGGAGGGUCGGUGGAUACUGCCAGUCUUGAAGGUGCUAGGGGGAGAUGGAAUUACCGGUGUAGCGGUGAAAUGCGUAGAUAUCGGUAGGAACACCAGUGGCGAAGGCGGUCUCCUGGGGCAUUCUUGACGCUGAGGCGCGAAAGCUGGGGGGGAGCGAACGGG